rnacentral:rRNA from 1 species
GAUGAACGCUGGCGGCGUGCCUAAUACAUGCAAGUCGAGCGAACGGACGAGAAGCUUGCUUUUCUGAUGUUAGCGGCGGACGGGUGAGUAACACGUGGAUAACCUACCUAUAAGACUGGGAUAACUUCGGGAAACCGGAGCUAAUACCGGAUAAUAUUUUGAACCGCAUGGUUCAAAAGUGAAAGACGGUCUUGCUGUCACUUAUAGAUGGAUCCGCGCUGCAUUAGCUAGUUGGUAAGGUAACGGCUUACCAAGGCAACGAUGCAUAGCCGACCUGAGAGGGUGAUCGGCCACACUGGAACUGAGACACGGUCCAGACUCCUACGGGAGGCAGCAGUAGGGAAUCUUCCGCAAUGGGCGAAAGCCUGACGGAGCAACGCCGCGUGAGUGAUGAAGGUCUUCGGAUCGUAAAACUCUGUUAUUAGGGAAGAACAUAUGUGUAAGUAACUGUGCACAUCUUGACGGUACCUAAUCAGAAAGCCACGGCUAACUACGUGCCAGCAGCCGCGGUAAUACGUAUGUGGCAAGCGUUAUCCGGAAUUAUUGGGCGUAAAGCGCGCGUAGGCGGUUUUUUAAGUCUGAUGUGAAAGCCCACGGCUCAACCGUGGAGGGUCAUUGGAAACUGGAAAACUUGAGUGCAGAAGAGGAAAGUGGAAUUCCAUGUGUAGCGGUGAAAUGCGCAGAGAUAUGGAGGAACACCAGUGGCGAAGGCGACUUUCUGGUCUGUAACUGACGCUGAUGUGCGAAAGCGUGGGGAUCAAACAGGAUUAGAUACCCUGGUAGUCCACGCCGUAAACGAUGAGUGCUAAGUGUUAGGGGGUUUCCGCCCCUUAGUGCUGCAGCUAACGCAUUAAGCACUCCGCCUGGGGAGUACGACCGCAAGGUUGAAACUCAAAGGAAUUGACGGGGACCCGCACAAGCGGUGGAGCAUGUGGUUUAAUUCGAAGCAACGCGAAGAACCUUACCAAAUCUUGACAUCCUUUGACAACUCUAGAGAUAGAGCCUUCCCCUUCGGGGGACAAAGUGACAGGUGGUGCAUGGUUGUCGUCAGCUCGUGUCGUGAGAUGUUGGGUUAAGUCCCGCAACGAGCGCAACCCUUAAGCUUAGUUGCCAUCAUUAAGUUGGGCACUCUAAGUUGACUGCCGGUGACAAACCGGAGGAAGGUGGGGAUGACGUCAAAUCAUCAUGCCCCUUAUGAUUUGGGCUACACACGUGCUACAAUGGACAAUACAAAGGGCAGCGAAACCGCGAGGUCAAGCAAAUCCCAUAAGGUUGUUCUCAGUUCGGAUUGUAGUCUGCAACUCGACUACAUGAAGCUGGAAUCGCUAGUAAUCGUAGAUCAGCAUGCUACGGUGAAUACGUUCCCGGGUCU